CUCAAAAUUACCUUAUAUGGAAUGCAAUUUGGAAAUUAAUGUCAGUCUCCUUUGUACUUAUUUUUUGAAAUGGCAAAUUUUCUAAAAUAAGAAAUGGAAAGUUCCAGGGACAAGUAUAGACUGUUAGAAUAAAGUUUUCCUUUACUUAAAAUUCUUCCCAAAACUAAACAAACAAAACCAACUGUGUGUGUGUGAUCCUCAUGGAAGAAAUUGGGUCCAUUGAUUUCAGGAAAUUUUCAAUCACUAUACAAUCAGAGAAGGAGGGGGUUGUUACUGUUAUCUUGUGGGGUUAUGGUUUCUGAACUACUCACUAUAUUGCAUUUCUAUCACACACAUUAAUAUGUACCCUGAGGUUCUUGCUGUAUUUGCAAAACAAACUGAUGAGCAAGCCAAUAGUCAAUAUAAUCUGAGUGACAAUAAUGUCAAAAAUGUGUCAUAACUUUCUAACCAUAUCAGAUCCUGGCAUAUUGGGAAUUGGCAAAGACCAAUUCUGAGCCCGCUGGGUCAGUCACUGGGAUCCAAGGUUGUCUGCCACCCUGGAGGCAACGUCAUGAGCAGGCAGCAUGAUUGCUGUGGCCAUUUCAACUGGCUUCCAUGCCUCCUUGCUUGGGCAGAGACUUUCACUGCUAGGCAACUUACAGGAACCAGACAAACUCUGGCUAGAUAUUUUGGGCAAACAGAAGCAACUGUACAGGUUAGUAUUAUAAUUAUUCCCUUUAUAUGGCUGGAUAAAACCUGGGACCAGAACUUUGUUCAAUAGAAAUAAGUUAUUCUUUCCAGGAUUUUCUAAAUUUGUGUCUCAGUCGAUUUCAUUAAAACGAGCAAAGUCACUCAACAGGACAGAUACGGAAGUGUAGUCUGACAUGAAUGGAAAACUACUCUCGGUGCUGUCUGAUGGAUGUUGAUAAGACCAAUGAGGCAAUCCAAGAAAAAAAAAGAUGAGGCUGACUUCUGCAAAUUUUGGAUACCAUGAUGACCUCAGAAAACCUAGAGGACCUUCCACAACCUUGUGGCAGCUUCAGACUAAGAGUUCUGGAGGCUGAGAAGUCCAAGAUCAAGAUGCUGGCAGAUUCAGUGUCUGAUGAGGGCUCACAUCCUUGUUCAUAGACAUCUUUUCCUGCAUCCUCACACGGCAGAAGAAACAAGGGAAGUCUCCGGGAUGUCUUUUAUAAGGGCAUUAAUUUCAUCCAUGCGGGCUCCACCCUCAUGACCUAAAUACUUCCCAAAGGCCCCAUCACAUUGGGGGUUAAGAUCUUUAAGAUAUGAAUUUGGGGGGGACAUAUUCAGUCCAUAACAUGUCCCAAGCAUAUUCCAAGAAGUUUCUUAACUUAGUUUUCUCUAAUGGUCAGAGAUCUUUAAGAUAAUAUCAAUAUGGCUGACACAUAAAAGUAGGUACCAACGUGGAUUAGAUCAAGCAAGGAAAUUUUUAUGUCAAUUGAAAAUAUAACAUUUUAGCUUUUCUUAGAUCACUAGAUAUAUUGUUAUGUAUUUAUGCCAAAAUGAAAUGUCCAAAGGAAAAAUAUCAAAUCCAUGUUAUAUUAGUUACACAGGAAGCCGGAUUAUUAUUCUUGUUGUAUUUGUAUAAUGAAACUUACCAAAAAGAUGAAACCAUGACUUUUGUAAGAACAAAUAAUAAAACAUCUAAAAGCA
rnacentral:lncRNA from 1 species